rnacentral:tRNA from 1 species
GGGGGUUUAGCUCAGUGGUAGAGCGCUUGCCUAGCAAGCGCAAGGCCCUGGGUUCGGUUCCCAGCUCCG